GCCAGACUCCUACGGGAGGCAGCAGUGAGGAAUAUUGGUCAAUGGACGCAAGUCUGAACCAGCCAAGUAGCGUGCAGGAUGACGGCCCUCCGGGUUGUAAACUGCUUUUAGUUGGGAAUAAAAGGGGGCUCGUGAGCCCCGUAUUGUAUGUACCAUCAGAAAAAGGACCGGCUAAUUCCGUGCCAGCAGCCGCGGUAAUACGGAAGGUCCGGGCGUUAUCCGGAUUUAUUGGGUUUAAAGGGAGCGUAGGCCGGCUUUUAAGUCAGCUGUGAAAGUCCGCGGCUCAACCGUGGAAUUGCAGUUGAAACUGCAUCCCUUGAGUGCGCGAGAAGUAUGCGGAAUGCGUGGUGUAGCGGUGAAAUGCAUAGAUAUCACGCAGAACUCCGAUUGCGAAGGCAGCAUACCGGCGCUCAACUGACGCUCAUGCACGAAAGUGUGGGUAUCGAACAGGAUUAGAUACCCCAGUACA
rnacentral:rRNA from 1 species